UACGGAGGCCCCAAGCGUUACUGAGAAUCACUGGGCUUAAAGGGUGCGUAGGUGGUCCGUUAAGUCCGUUGUGAAAUCCCUGGGCUCAACCCAGGAACUGCUUCGGAUACUGGCGGGCUUGAGGCUAGUAGGGGUCACUGGAACUGACGGUGGAGCGGUGAAAUGCGUAGAUAUCGUCAGGAACGCCAAUGGUGAAGACAGGUGACUGGGCUAGUUCUGACACUGAGGCACGAAAGCGUGGGGAGCGAACGGG
rnacentral:rRNA from 1 species